rnacentral:rRNA from 1 species
ACUCCUACGGGAGGCAGCAGUGGGAAUAUUGGACAAUGGGGGACCGGUAGCUCAGCCAGCCGCGCUGUGUGAAGAAGGCCUUCGGGUUGUAAAGCACUUUCAGUAGGGAGGAAGGUAGUGUAGUUAAUAGCUGCAUUAUUUGACGUUAGCGACAGAAGAAGCACCGGCUAACUCCGUGCCAGCAGCCGCGGUAAUACGGAGGGUGCGAGCGUUAAUCGGAAUUACUGGGCGUAAAGCGCAUGCAGGCGGCCUGUUAAGUCAGAUGUGAAAGCCCGGGGCUUAACCUCGGAAUUGCAUUUGAAACUGGUAGGCUAGAGUCUUGUAGAGGGGGGUGAGAAUU